GAUGAACGCUGGCGGCGUGCCUAAUACAUGCAAGUCGAGCGAACAGACGAGGAGCUUGCUCCUCUGACGUUAGCGGCGGACGGGUGAGUAACACGUGGAUAACCUACCUAUAAGACUGGGAUAACUUCGGGAAACCGGAGCUAAUACCGGAUAAUAUAUUUAACCGCAUGGUUCAAUAGUGAAAGACGGUUUUGCUGUCACUUAUAGAUGGAUCCGCGCCGCAUUAGAUAGUUGGUAAGGUAACGGCUUACCAAGGCAACGAUGCGUAGCCGACCUGAGAGGGUGAUCGGCCACACUGGAAUUGAGACACGGACCCGACUCCUACGGGAGGCAGCAGUAGGGAAGCGUCCGCAAUGGGCGCAAGCGUGACGGAGCAACGCCGCGUGGGUGAUGAAGGUCUUCGGAUCGUAAAACUCUGUUAUUAGGGAAGAACAAAUGUGUACGUAAGUAUGCACGUCUUGACGGUACCUAAUCAGAAAGCCACGGCUAACCACGUG
rnacentral:rRNA from 1 species